CGGAACGGGUGAGUAACGCGUGAGGAACCUGCCUCAAAGAGGGGGACAACAGUUGGAAACGACUGCUAAUACCGCAUAAGCCCACGGCUCGGCAUCGAGCAGAGGGAAAAGGAGUGAUCCACUUUGAGAUGGCCUCGCGUCCGAUUAGCUAGUUGGUGAGGUAACGGCCCACCAAGGCGACGAUCGGUAGCCGGACUGAGAGGUUGAACGGCCACAUUGGGACUGAGACACGGCCCAG
rnacentral:rRNA from 1 species